AGCCUUGAGGCUGCGGUGAAUCUCGUGUUUAGUGGGUGUCGUACCUUUUGCAUCAUGAUUCCUUGAAGGAGUUCGGUUAGUCUGGUGUCUCGAAAGACGGUGAUUCGGGUCUGCCUUGUUUUUAGAACUUAGGGGUUGGUGGGUAACCAAAGUUGAAAGGUAGGUCCGGAGGUGACAUGCAUUGCGUACCGUCUCAUAGCUAGUUGCCGGAGUCGAGUUUUCAAACUAUGGCCCCGUUGCUUGGAUGUGGCGGGGUUGUCAAGAGGGCUUUUUGGGUUGAUGAGUUGGCUAGGUUAGAGGUACCUUGUUUUAGCUUCGUGUUAUGACGAUUGACUCGGAUUGUUUGGGCUUUUUGGUUUAGUGCUCUGGGCUUAGGCGUAACGGUCUGUUUUCAAGUGUGGGGUAAUGAGUAGUUUGAAUGGCUUCCUUUUUUCUCGGAGAUCUCCGGUCUGUUUCUCAAAAACAUUUUCAUCAGGAAGGUUUGAUGGUAGUGCCUGCCCGAUGUUUGCAAUAAAUGGCCGCAGUAUCUUGACUGUGCUAAGGUAGCAUAAUCAGUUGCCUUGUAAUUGAAGGAUUGUUUGAACGGUUUGACCAGGGGGGUGUGUCUAGAUGGGGGCCAUCUCUGAAAUUAGGUGGCUGGUGCAGAUCCCAGCGAUUUUUAAUCAGACGGAAAGACCCCGAGAGCUUUGGCAGUUUUGUGCUUACU
rnacentral:rRNA from 1 species